CAAUAGCGUAUAUUUAAGUUGUUGCAGUUAAAAAGCUCGUAGUUGGAUUUCGGGCUCGUGUGGCCGGUCCGCGGUUUCCGUGUGCACUGGCGGUGCGAGUCUUGUUUGCCGGUGAGGCGCUCCUGCACUUUAUUGGGUGGGACGUCGAGUCGGCGAGGUUACUUUGAAAAAAUUAGAGUGUUCAAAGCGGGCGAUCGCUUGAAUAUAUUAGCAUGGAAUAGCACUAUAGGACUCGGGUUCUAUUUUGCUGGUUUCUAGAACCGGAGUAAUGAUUAAGAGGAACAGUUGGGGGCAUUCGUAUUUCAUUGUCAGAGGUGAAAUUCUUGGAUUUAUGAAAGACGAACUUCUGCGAAAGCAUUUGCCAAGGAUGUUUUCAUUAA
rnacentral:rRNA from 1 species